AGAGUUUGAUCAUGGCUCAGGAUGAACGCUGGCGGUAUGCUUAACACAUGCAAGUCGAACGUGCUCUUCGGAGCAAGUGGCGGACGGGUGAGUAACGCGUGAGAAUCUGCCUUCUGGUUCGGGAUAACAGUUGGAAACGACGGCUAAUACCGGAUGUGCCUUAGGGUGAAAGAUUUAUUACCAGAAGAUGAGCUCGCGUCUGAUUAGCUAGUUGGUGGGGUAAAGGCUCACCAAGGCGACGAUCAGUAGCUGGUCUGAGAGGAUGACCAGCCACACUGGGACUGAGACACGGCCCAGACUCCUACGGGAGGCAGCAGUGGGGAAUUUUCCGCAAUGGGCGAAAGCCUGACGGAGCAAUACCGCGUGAGGGAGGAAGGCUCUUGGGUUGUAAACCUCUUUUCUCAGGGAAGAAUGAUGACGGUACCUGAGGAAUCAGCAUCGGCUAACUCCGUGCCAGCAGCCGCGGUAAUUC
rnacentral:rRNA from 1 species